AGAGUUUGAUCAUGGCUCAGGAUGAACGCUAGCGGGAGGCCUAACACAUGCAAGUCGAACGGGAUUGGGAGCUUGCUCCCAUGAGAGUGGCGCACGGGUGAGUAACGCGUAUGCAACCUACCUUUAACAGAGGGAUAGCCCAUAGAAAUGUGGAUUAAUACCUCAUAGUUCUAUAUAUCCGCAUGGAUUUAUAGAUAAAACUCCGGUGGUUACAGAUGGGCAUGCGUGACAUUAGUUUGUUGGUGAGGUAACGGCUCACCAAGACUACGAUGUCUAGGGGUUCUGAGAGGAUGAUCCCCCACACUGGUACUGAGACACGGACCAGACUCCUACGGGACGCAGCAG
rnacentral:rRNA from 1 species